GGAUUGAACUCAUGGCCUUUGCUCUGAGCUAUAUCCCCAGGCCUCUUUUUACUUCUUAAUUUCGAGAUGAGGCCUCUCUAGGUCACUAAGUUGUCCAGGCUGAGGUCGGACUUGUGACCCUCCUGCCUCAGCCUCUCAGAGGGCUGGGCCUAUUAUGAUUGCAGUGUGAGUUUUAAAAUGGUAGUUGAAGCAGGGGGAUGAGGGAGGAAAACGAGGUAAAAGAAGGUAACUUCAUUUCCUCCACAGUUACUAACUCCCUUGUCCCCAAGCUUGUACACAGUCUGGUGACAUUCCUGGGCAGAAGCUACUUGUCUGUGCCUGGACCCUGCAUUUGCAUCCUGCUGGCUGCCAUUUUGCUCUGCUGAGCUGUGGGGUGUGGGAUUAAAGGCCCUUUGCCUAAGUGAACAGUUUCUCUGCCUUCCUGACAGCUGUGAGAAAUUCUGAUUGACAAGAGGGCAGAUUCUAAGCUGGGAGCAGGGCAGAGGGGACAAUGUGACAGUCCCUGGCGAGAAAGACAUGUCCCCACGUGCGUGCUGCGAGGCCCCACUGGUGUCAGAUGGAUCACAAAGCUCCUCUUUGAUACUAUCACAAAGAACCACAGACUGGGUGCCUUAAAGAGAAAUUACCUCACAGCUCUGGAGGCUGGAAGUCAAGACCAUGAGGUGUUGGGUAUUUAAAGCCAGCGACAAGGAAAGUGACUAAGACAGAUGACAAACUUGAGGCCAGCCUAGGCUACUUAGUGACACCAUGUCCAAACAAACAAACAAACAAACACCAACAAGGUCAUUGCUGCAUCUAAUCGUGCUGCACAUGGACUGAAGCCUCUGAACCGUGAGCCGAAAUAAACCUCUCCUCUCUCAAGUUGUGGGUGGCAGAUUCUUUGCUCCGCCAAGAGGAAAAGUGACUGACAGUGCACCUCUGACUUCUGUGUCUAUCAGUUAGCAGAUACAAGUCUGUUUCUCUAAAUCGGUUACUGAGGGCUUCAGAAAUCCCAGGGAAGGCACCAGUCACUCGGUUCGUUUCAGCAGUAUUUAUUUGUGACGUCCUGCUCAGUGCAGCAGUCAUCUUUUCUGCCAUCCACAUGAUCUUUAUGUGCCAUGGCCACCUGGCAGGCUCCGUUCAGGACCUAGUGAGCCUUAUAGGUGGGAUGAUUUCCAGGUUUAUGAAUGACUUUUCCAUUAUUAUGGAAUUAAUCCUUUUGAUUUGGGGUUCUGGAUGGGUUUCUGAUGUUGUUCAAGAUCGAGCUGUAGAAGCAGCAGUUGCCUCCACCUUUGUAUUCUUUUAGGAGAAAUUAAUCCGGUAUAUUAUGCAAACAAAUAGAAGAAUGGUAAGUUAAAUAUUCUCUUUAUGUGUGUCCUGUUAAUUAGUCUCCUGAUAUCACAUUUAUAAUUUUAAUUUUUAUGUUUUGGAAAUACUGUAACGAUGUUAAAAUGAAAAAAAAAAAAUGUCCCAUCCCACUACUUUAAACAAAUUGACAGCUUUCAAUCUUUUUUGGGUCAUUUCAGUUCCUUUUAAUAUGUGUAUAUGAUUUUUGCAUAGCAGAAUAGAGCUGAUAGUAAUAAUUCUAAUAAAAAGUAAAGCCAUUAUUUAUGAGCC
ensembl:lncRNA